rnacentral:rRNA from 1 species
GACGAACGCUGGCGGCGCGCCUAACACAUGCAAGUCGAACGGAGUUGGUGUUGAAGCUUGCUGGAUAUACAACUUAGUGGCGGACGGGUGAGUAACACGUGAGUAACCUGCCUACUCGAGAGUGGAAUAACGUUUAGGAAACGAACGCUAAUACCGCAUAACGUGAGAAGAGGGCAUCCUCUUUUUGCCAAAGGAUUUAAUCGCUGAGUAGAUGGGCUCGCGGCCGAUUAGGUAGUUGGUGAGAUAACAGCCCACCAAGCCGACGAUCGGUAGCCGGACUGAGAGGUUGAUCGGCCACAUUGGGACUGAGACACGGCCCAG